rfam:Gossypium hirsutum cultivar TM-1 chromosome 8, whole genome shotgun sequence
GCGUCUAUUGUCUAAUGGAUAGGACAAAAGUCUUCUAAACCUUCGGUAUAGAUUCAAAUUCUAUUGGACGCA